UCUUUCUUUUUCUUUCUUUCUUUCUUCUUACUCUGCAGGUCUCCCGGGGUACUCAGAGUUUGACCUCUGUGGAUUCUCACACCCUGGCUGGAGCUGCAGGAAAAUCAACUCUUGAAUAGCACAUAAUUUCUUACUGAUAUUUUGUGCGUCAUUUUGUUACUGUGUUUAUGCAGUUGUUGCUUGCAAACAGCACGUUGUGACUUUGGCUUCAUCUCCUCUCCCCUCUCCUCCUCUCCACCCCAUUCUUGCCCUCUUGUCUUUCUUUGGUCCUAGUUUUGUCAUGAUCUAGACAGACUGGAGACUUCUAGGCUCCGGAAGACCUGCAUUUCUAAAGUAAGAAAACAAGUGGAAAAACGCUUAAUCUUUUUCCAUUGGACUGAAACCCUACAGGCUCCUUAAUCUAUUACAAAGUCACAUAAAGGGCAUAGGCGGCAUUUCUCUUUUUUUGGCAGUCAUCUUUAAGGGGGGUGAAGGGAGGAGCAAAGACAAUUCAGUUGAUAAACCAAGAAACCAAGAGAUAGGAUUCCUGAUUUCUGCUCUUGGAAAUCUUUUGCCCUGUGUUGGCUGUCUCACUCAGAGCUUGUAAUUUUUUUUUUUUUUGUCAAAGUUUACCUAGCUGUUAAAGAAUAGCUGUUGCACUUGCCUGCAGGAGGUGAUUAUGGAAAGGGUAACAUUUCCCUUAACGGCUGAGCUGCAGUCGAUUUAAUUUGCAGUUUGUUAUGAAAUGGUAGGUAUUGUUUUACCUCUCUUCAUCCCCAGGCUGGGAGAACGGGCACAGAGAGUUCCAGAGAUAAAUGGUGAGCUAAAUAAUUACAGGCCUAGCUCCCAGGGAUGGUUUGAGGAUUAAUGGCUGUUUGUACAGCACUUCAAGAUCCUUAGCUGAAAUCUGCUUUGAACUCUGGAGCAUUUCAGGCUACAGGUGAUGGGUACCCCCAGGCUCUGGCAGAGGGCAGUACUCAGAGUAAAUCAGGUCUUUGGAGGCAGACAUGCAGCUCCAGGGAUGUGGCUGGCCAGGCUCACAGGGGAGGUAGAUUUUACAUCUGCAAAGCACUCCUAUGUGGAAUGGGAAGGUGACAGGGAGGACCUGUCCCUUCAGAUUCAUUUCUUUUAAGAAGAUGAGGCUGCUUGAAAGAAAGACUAGAGGAAAAACACAUCCUGUGAAUGCUUCUCUAGCUAUCUUUCUGAUCUUUCUACUGAUUAGCAGUGUUCCAGCUGCUAAGAAGAAGUCAGUGCUACACUGUCAUGGAUAUAAGAAGCAAACAGCUUGAGUUGCCUUCUGAUGCCAGCCAGAGCUUCCUUGGUCUUUUCUCCUCAGGACCCCAUGGGUGACCUUCAGAGGUUUGCAUUAAGCCAGAACACUGCAUUUCAAGUCUUUGGGGCUAUUAGUCCAUGAAUGACCAUAACUUCUUUAGGCUGGAACAUUUUCUGUCAUUAUCACAAAUGAGGAAACUUUUCUGUCGGGUGCCUGCAAAGUGUUGGAGUGCCAGCCUGGCUUUUACAGCCCUAGAAGGAAGUGCUGAGAGCAUUGCUUUCUAAUCUUGCAGCGGAGAUUUUCAAAGGGGAGGCUGUACUGUGGGAAGCAGUGUAAGAUUAAAAUGGAUCCAGUCAGCUUGUGCUUGUUUGACCACAGAAUCAAGGGCCAGACACUUGGGGAAAGUUCUCCCUAUCCUAUGGGAGGAGCACAUGCAUUUGGGAAGCUCCUUGAGUGCAGCAGCCACUGAAGGUGCAGGAGGGAAGAAUCUCUCCCUGGGUCUCAGGAGUCCCUCAGGGUGGUUCAGGGAGUUCAUGGUCCUCAGCAGCAGCUGGUGGUGCUAUGUGACAAGGCUCUCAUGGCACCGAGGUACAGGGACUGUCAGGGGACCGACUGUGUCCCUGCAGUGACCAUGCAAGGGCAGGAAAUGGGGCAGGACAUGUCACAGCUGGGGAGUCUGCACUGAACAGAUGCAAUGAGUCCAUCCCAAAUCCUUUGCUACUCAUCUCGUAAUGUGGGAGAAGGGAGAACAGCUUAUCCUAUGUAGUCAGGGACCUCACCAGUGUCAUUAUUGGCCAUUUAGUUGUGGGGAAUAUGCUGGGGGACAGAUAUGUCAUAUGAUCUUUGUCAACCCUUUUUUUUUUUCCCCUCUGUUAUGAAACAUUGAGUCCUGGUUUCAGGCAAUGCAGAUAGAAGUGUCCAUUCCCACCACUCCUGCCUCUGCAGAGCAGCACACUGGAGAGGAAUGAAGGGCCGUGGGAAUACUAAGCGUUAUUUUAUUAUGGAGACAGUGGGAGGACGGAGCAGGAACACAAGGGAAACACUAUGAGAGAUGUCUCAACUCCAAAGCAGGGGCAGAAGUCAGAGGUGAAUUAGCAGCCAAGAGCAGCCAAGAUCCCAGCUCCUCAACUGCUCGUACCGGUGGGAGAAACUAUGCUGAAAGCCAAGGCUCUUUCCAAUGCGCCAGGAGUGCAGCACAAGCCCCACAGACAGUAUACGAAAAUAUGAACCAUACCAUAUCUAUAGGAACUUCUUUUAUUAGAGACAUGAGUACUGACUACCUUCUCUGCAUAUUCUCUGAAGGGAACAGACUGGCUUUGUAAGGGAGAGACAGAUGAGGACAAACUGUACUUGGAUAAAAGAACAACUGGAAAUAUGCUGUGCAUGAGGAGGAUCUGUCAGAAACUGAGCACUUUCCAAAGCCUGAGAACUCCUACCAGUGGCAACUUCUGUCAUCAACCCUGAUGGUAAACAUCCCAUGGGCUGCCAGGGCAGGGAAUGUCUCCAGACCUGCCUGAGGGCUUUCCCAGUCCAGCUGCUGCAGCAGCCUCCUCUCCCAAGUUUCUGAAGCACCGUCUGGAUGCAACAAGAGGAUCUUUAAACUCCUGUUUGCCACAUCUUCAGCCCUUCCCCCCGCUAUGAAGCAUGUCUUUGAGUGAGUUUUUCAGCAGGUGACAAUCUCCUUUUUAGCAUUCCAGGGAAGACAUGGCAACUGCUGAGGUGUAAUAGCAGACUUUGAACAUCCUCAAGGUUUUUGAACUUGUAUUGUCCUCUUGACACCCAUGACUUGAAUAUAGUCUGGAACUGAUUAACUUGGCUGCUUCAGUCUCUGGAAGGGAAUGUUCUUUACGCAGUUAAAUAUUUACUUAUCAAUGUGCAUGGACCAGGCAAUACAGAAGCCUGAGCAACAUUUGCAUUUUCUCCCCAUAAACUGAAAAAGGAGCAUCCUUCAUUAUUUCAGUGCUGCCACUUCCGUUUAUCAUGGUAGUCCAGUCAUGUCCUGUUCAACCUAGCUGUCUUAUUAGCUUCAGCACCAUUCCUAAACCAUGAGAUAUGUAGCCCACACCAUGGGGAGCCCUCAUUGCAUAUCCAAAAUAUUCCUUGGUUCCAAAGUACAUCCUCAGAGAACAACAUGAAUCCUAUUUCUGAAAAUUGUGGGUCUCUAGCACUUGCAAGCACCUUUGUAUGACAUGGCUUGGGGAGAGGUUGAGCUCUCCCCUACCCAGUUUUCCACUGGCAGAAGGACUUUUACAAUAGAAACUAUUUCUAUCUUAGGCAGCACCACAAUGAAGUGGUAAAAAUGGGAAAAUCUGAAGCAUUGGUAGAGGCUUUUAGAAAUACUGGGGUAUUCCCAUCUUCCUUCCAGUUCCUACCUGCUGUAAAUGCUGGGGUGGGUAGCUCUGGCACGCCAGUAUACCCAAGAGGAGCAUAACACCCCUUUCUGCUGCUGCCCAGUGUCAGACUGCUCCAUCCUGACCAUGGCAGGGCAGAGAGAGCUCUUUCCCAGCCCCAGGGCUGGGUCUGGCUCCCAGGAUACCAGCAGGUGGGCUCUGCUGGAUCUGUGCAGGGAGUGAGGAGAAGCUGGGAAGUGUUUUUGCUCUGUUCAGGGCUGAGAAAACAGAGCAGCUUCUGCCUGGGAAUAGGUGCAGUCCGUGACUACCCUGGUGAUGCAAUGACGUCCCUGUUGCUCCUCCUGGCAGGGGGAGUCUCCUGUUUCCUCUGGCUCAGGCAGAGACUCUUUUUUUUUUUUUUUUUUUUUUUUUUUUUCCCCACCCCCUUGGCACCCAACAGUUAGCUUACCAUUUCAGUCACCAGUGACAGCAACCAAAAAAUAAUACUACUGUACUCAGUUAAUCCAUAGGAAAAUCCCACAUCGGCACACAAAAGGUGGAGACGGUGCUCGCACAUUUUCCCCCAAGGGCCUUAGGCAAUGGAAAUUUUCUCAAGCUCCAUUCAUUAACAGAAUAGAUGAACAGUUAUGUAAGGUCACAUGUGGGAAGUGGUUGGUCUUUGGUCAAUGAAAGAGUUAGUCACACAUCAUUGAGCUGGAUGGCCCUGGGAGGAAUUGUGGAGCCACCCUUUGCAUGUUCAAGGACUGAAGAGGGAGAACUUUAGCUAUAAUUCCUCACUAUGCCCUGAGUUGGUAACCACCUUUACAGACCUGGCGUUGCAGGAGGCAUAUGGUGCUGGUAAGCAAAAAAGCAGGGAGUUGAGGUCUGUUGAGAUCCUCCAAACUUUCCUCUUCCCAGAUCACUCAACCCUCCUCUGAAGGAAUUAAGCAACCACCUGAUGAUCUUGGGGUGCCAAUGUGCAGUUGUGCAUCCUCCCAGCCAGCCUGUUCUUGAGGUACUCAGAGGGUAGUAAAAGAACAUGAUACAAUUCAGCAGUCACAGCACAUAAAAUCUGUAUGAGGGCUCUCAGGAACCACUAGAGCAUUACUAGGACAUUCAGCUGGAGGAGGAUUUUUAAGGAUCUCUUCUGUCCAUUACCGAAGUGGUUUGGAAUUUUCUCUCCCUCUUUGAACCAAGGAUGAUGCCAUCAUACAGAAUUCCCAUGGGACUGACUGCAGGAGAGAAGUAGGGCACUGACUGGCAUCCACACUUUAGUACCCAGUUAACAUGGUCUGCCACAAUAUUCUCCCACUUCUCACCAUCUCUCAUCCUUGUCCCAGGCAGCCCAGCUGAAAGUCCUCCAGUCCUCUGAAUUUGGGUUACCUUGGCCCUUGGCUCUUCUUAGCUGCUGCUUUGGGGCUUGCAGGUAUGACUUUUAGACAAGGAUGUCUUGCAGACAAAUCAAACCAGCUUUGUUUGCUCAUUUGCUCUAAUCCCUGGAUGUUGAGUGACCAGCUUCAACCUGCUAGUGUACUUUCACCUUGCAGCCAAUCUCUUGAAGGUCAUUUCAGACCACUGGAGAGGCAGGGUGACAAAGCUUGGCUGGCAGCCUCCACAGGACACGGAGCAGCAGUCACCUGGCACCAGCUAUCAGCAGGACCCACGGCCUGAUGAGUGCAGAGGGCAGAGGAGGCCUGCAAAGGAAACUCGUGUUGGGCAGGUGGGAAGAGUGUGGGUGUCAGGUUGUACCUGAACCAUGAUCUGGUGCCUGAGGGCUGAUAAUAAGCUGUAAUUGUGUAAACCAAAGUGCCUCCCACAUUUGCUGGUCUGCCCCAAGUGCUGAGGUUGUGAAUCCCUGCGAGGAGGACACCUUAACCCAUCUGGGAGGGGCUGCGGCGUAGAUCCGGCCCCCAGUAAAAGCCCAGCUGUCUCCCUGAGCAGGUGGUUUCCAGGAAGAGCCACAUUCCUGUCUGUGAGGAGCUGUAAGGACCAUGUAUGGGAUAUGCCUUAAAAUAGACAGAGAUAUAGGAACAGAAUUCAGGUCCCAGGCAAUGUGGACUCAAUGGCAUCUCAAGCGUUUGAUCAGGAAGGGAAGUGCUGCUAAAACUACAGCUGUCUCAGCCUUGACUGCAAGUGUCUCUGAUAACCUUAGGAUUGUUUUCACUCAAGGAAAGGAUUUUUUUUUUCAGCCAAAUUCCAUUCUACUUUAUUGUUUUCUGCUUUUCUAAAAGCCGAGCUGAGCAAGAAAUAGAUUUCCCCUUCCCCAAAGGAUUGAGAUAUUGUGGAAAGAGGUCUAUCUCAUAUUUGGAUAAAAAUUUAAUAUCUCUAACCUUUUCAAAUAAUUGAUAUUUUGCUAGGGGAAAGGAAGUCCUUUUUGAAAUGUUUUAUUUCAGUAACCUUAAAACGGUCUUUUUUAGAACUAUUUUACAAUUUCUAGCCUUCUGUUUUUUAACAACUAAGUAUUGUAUAUCUGUAGUGAAUUUUUUUUCUUGAAGAAAAUGUCUAAAUGUUAUGAUACCUAGAAAAGGGAUUCCCUCAGCAGUAUUGCAAGCUGAUAAGUUUUUUGAAAACAUUUUUUCUCCAAAAAUGAUCUGGUUCUGAGGAACCGGCAAUAAAUUUGAGAAAAGUUUGGUGUAAAGUUUCCAGCACAUUCUCCUGAAGCAUGUAUCUUUUCACUGUAAAGCAUUUCCUGGCCAUUUGCAAGCCAAGCAGUGAUGGGUUGAAAGACAGAGCUUCUUGAUGGCAUCUGGAAAAUGGAGUGAGAUGAAUUUUGGCUUCCAUUCACUCUUGCUGCAUAAUUUGGCUUUGCUCUUUGAAAUAGUUGCUGUAUGUUCACCACUGAAAACAUUCACUGCAGUGUCAGUUGUUUUGGUAAAACCCUCUGAGCCUGCAGAGUUCUAAGAGCUGUUGGGACAGCACACUUCAGGUAAGAAGACCCCAGAACUGCUCAGGGCACGUCAUGAGCGAGCAGGAGGAGAAGUGGGUUUUUCCUUAUUGCCCACCUGCUGCUUUGCUCUCUGGCUGGCACAGCCUUGCAGCAUCUGCUGGGAACGCGUGGCACCCGGAGACCGUGUGAGUUAAUUAUUAAACAAAAUGGAGUCAUUAUGCCCUGUGCCACUGCUGUUCCUCACAUAAAUCUGCUGCACAGUAGAAAAACGAUCCCGUGCAAUGAGAACAAAGAAACCUUUUCAGGAUGAGCACAUUUUCCUCUGCUGGAGAGCUGCUCUCACUUCACCUCCCUGGAAGAGUGAUGCAUUUGGUCUCCAUACAGGUGGGGGGCUUUGGAAAGACAGAUGAAAGCGAUACAGAGCCCCAGGGCACUGAUUUCCAUGAAUAAUCUCCCCAGCUGUUAGCCUAGGUCUGAAGCCAUUUCCUUUCAGAAAAUACAUUGCUACUAGCCACAUUUCAGGGUCCGGAAGGAAAUAUUUACAUGUUACCUUUGGCAUUUCAAGGCUAGCACAAUUUCCACUGAGCUUCCCUUGAACUUCUAGAUAAAAUAUUAACUCCUGGACGAGGUGCAGAGAACCUGGCAGGCUGUCAACCAGCAACACAAUUAAGGACACAGUCUCUGAUGAGAUAGCAUCCAGUACUUUAAAAAGCAUCUGCCAUUAGUUUCACUGUGAUUAGUUUGACUGACACACAGGAGAAAAUGAAGACUUACAGGUGAGAGUCCCAGAUGCCAGCCAUCCAGGGAAGGGUCCCCUUAACUGAAACAGCUGGUCAUCUCAGCUCUGGGAAGGGAUGAAAGAGAGCUAGUCUGGUUUCUCUGCUGUGAAGCCUUUCUGAAGUGUUUUCUCUCACACAGAGGGGAAAGGGUCUCUCCUCUGUGGCUGCUCAGCCUGGCAGACAUGGGAGGCUCUUGAGGGGCAUGUGUUGUGGUAAAAAGGGUGCAUGGGCUGAGACCCCAGCAGAUGGGGAUCCACCGGCUGCAGGAGGGCCCUGGCUGAGGGGUAGGAGCUGAGAUACUGGCAGGGGAUAGGUCAGGCCAUGGGACUCGGGUGUAUCCUCGAUGUUUGGCUUGUGUCUAUAGUGUCCAGGUACCAUGUAGACACAGAUACCCAAGAGUCUGCCUUUCACCACUCAGCAUAGUGGCCCUGUGGAGGCAGGGCACUGUGGCUGGAAGUAAAUAGAUGGGCAACAGUGGCUGUUUCUCUGGGGAUCUGAUUCCUGACGAUCUGUGCUCCAAGCACUCCUGCAGGCAGCCUGCGUAUUUGAGGCAGGCAUUUUGCUGUCCCUGCCUUUGCUGGCCAGUGCCAAGCUGAGUUGGUCCUUUGCUGCCCUCUCAAAGAGGGCACAGGUUUUGGAAGGAGUCCCUCCGCUUUACCACAUACUGUAAUAGCAGGGAAAGAGAAACAUAGAGGUCAUGUGGCCUAGGAAAGCCAAAAAGCAAAGGGACUGGCAGGGCUGGCCGUGGCAGCCAGGACUCCUGCCUCCUGGGAGGCAGGCACUGGCUUGUAACACUACUUCUCUAAUGUUAUUUAAAGGGACAACACAGAGCACACUCCUGCCCCUGCUGGGCUCAGUCAGUUGUGUUUGUGGUGCCCCUUGCUUUUCUUCAAGAGUUUACCUUGGCUCUUUCCCUACUGCUUCACUGGCACGCUGUGAAAGGACUGCAGUGACCCUUGUCCCCUGGAUGCAGAAGGAGUCCCUGGAAAAGACUGAGGAGUCAAGAAACAUGAAUGCUCCAAGGCUGGCUAGCUGUGUUUUGCAGGCCUGCUGAUGCCCAGCCGUAGCUGGAUGUGAGGCAUGUGAUGAGGGCCUGUCCCCCCUUCUGUCAUGUGUCACACAGCACAGCAGGGCUGCGCUGUGUCACCUCCCUCACCCGUGACCCCACGGGCUGCACACACCUCUGCCUGCCCUGUAACCUCUUGGCUGGGGUGUUGGCCUUUGUCCCCUGUGUGCUGCUUGGUAUCUCUGCAUUCCUGGCGUUUCUCUUUCACAAGGCACCUGCUCACACCUCCAGAAUCACCCAGGCAAACUCUGCCUUUGCUUCAGGGGUGCGGGUGCUGUGUCAGAGGUCUGUAGUAACCUGCAAAGAAAGUUCAGCAGGCUAAGGGAAAGGAAAGCUGGUGACUAAAGGACACCUGGCACUCCAGGGCUGUGGGGUCCAUUUUCUCACCGGCUCUCCUUCACUCUGCUCCCCGCCCUCUCCUCCAGACAGCGUCACAGGGAGGUGGUAUGAAGGGGCCCAUAUCUGCAAAGAUUGGGGAAAGCCUGGACAUGAAUAAAAGGCACAGCUUUGGCCUGAAGUCUGGCCUCCUUUACUGCACUCUUUCAUUCCUUCCUGAAGCAAGUAAGGGCAAAUCCUUCCACAGGGAGAGGGGCAAAGCCCACCUCCCUGCCUGUGCUCUGAGUUGGCUGCAUGUGAAAUAGCUCCAGUUCAGGGGACACACAGCUGCAAAAGACCUGAGACCGAUUUGAAACCUAUCUCUUGGUAUUUGUAGUCCACCUGCUUUCCACUUCUGUAUGUUUACUGCUGGCAUGAGUCAUACAACAGCUUUCCCCUCUUUUUCCUCUCUGCCUCUCUGAGCAUGUUCAGAGGCCAUGUGUCAUCAACUGGCUCUGGACAAGAGCUAACUGCAAAAUGUGUUAAAUGAAUGUUAGUCCUCUAUUUCCAAAAUUGGCCGACUCAGGGAGCUGCAAGCACACAGAGCAAAAUCCUCUCUAGUACCUUCUCCAUUGGGAUUUCUUGAGAGCUCACAUGACUGAAGAUAUGAGGGCAAUCUGGUGGUCCUCAGGGCUUUCUGUACCAGUUCCCAGUGAGCCCCUGAGCUGUGUCUGUCCCCUGCCUCCCUGCUUGUUAGUCUUGGUCUAAUCUUUGCAGAGGAACAGGCACCCCUCUGUAACCAGGCAUCCUGUUUUGCCUGCCUAGAACCAGAACCUUGAAGCUCAGUGCUUUGUGGACUCUCAGCAUCUCCACUACAUCAUGGCCAAUAGACAUGCAAGCAGCUUCCCAGAGCAGCUGUGUAAAAUAUUCAGCAUCCUAGCAGGAGCAGGGUAUCUCCAGUACGUGUCACAUCACUUAGGUUCAGCUUGGCUCUAUAACAUUGUUUACAGGUGGAUUAUUUUUAAGUAGAAAUGCAAAUGAACCUAGUUCAUGGAUAGGUUCAAGUUAUAAAGAAAAUACACAAAGGUCAUGCAGAAUUACGAUUACUCUCUGCAGAAAGAAGUUCCUUCAGUGCUCAGUAUCUUGGCUAACUCAUGAGGCUGAUUUGUCUGUGGCCUAAAUCAGGACUAAAGUGCUGAGAAAAGUCCUAGAACUUUAUCUUUCCUGCCUCUGGUGAUAAAGGCAAGGGAGGAGAUAGCAGGAUAUGGAAUCUGGGCAGUUAGCACCUUCCUUCUCCUAAAAGGGACUGGACCAGUCUUCUUUACUUUCCCUCUGUAAUCCUUAGCUUCCUUAGCCACUGUGGUGGGAAAACACAUGGAAUUAAGUAAUUUUGUCUUCCCUCCUUCCCAAAGAACUUUUAUUUAUUGUUUCUACUUUACACCUUGAUUUCAGGAUGUUAUCCUAGAUUCGGAUUUUAAGUGUUUUCCCAUGCCUGCAGCCUCCCUGUUACCAUACAAGCCAGAGAUUAGGAGAUAAUGCAUCACAGCAGGAGAUCUGGCACAGCGUUCGUCUUUUUUCCUCUACUUGGAAAGAACAGGGACAAAUAUUAGUUUGAGAUGAAAGAACAUGUCUUCACUUUGUUGGGAACGGGGCACUGAUAAUGGCUCUGCCUCACAUGCUUGGCUAGCCUUGUGCCAUACCGUGGGAGGCUGCCAAACUCGGGUUCAGCUGAUCCCUUGCUAUCUGCAAGGGAGGGCAGAGCCAAUGCCCACUCAACGGGACUUUGUCCUCCCGAUGGCAGGCAGCUUAGGAAACGUCAGCCUUUGCGUGUGCUGGCAGGGCAGGAAGGCUCUGGCCUGCACAAUAGCGGCGUUCUCCAUGGGCUCAGCUGGAAGAGGCUCACACAGAGUUUAACCUGUGCUUGGAGCACUUUUCAGCAGGAUCCCAUCAGUUAUUGGCAGAGCCUGAGGCAACGGCUUCGGGCUGGAUGCACUUUCCCCAGCAUGAGCAUGAACAAUGGUGUGUGCAUGCACAUGUAUGAGCCUGCACGUGUACACGUGUUCUGUACAUGUAGGCUAAAACCCACAGGCUUUCAGAGCCCUUGGCAAUCAGCCAGCACAUUUCAUUUCACUGUUCUUUGAAUGGGUCACUGGGGAGGGCUGGCCUUGUCUGACCACGCCAUCCAGACACUGUGCCUUGGGCUGCUGCUGUCGCAGGGCUCUCUUGUUGCUGCCACAGACCUGUUUGCAGGGAGCACCUCUUUGCCAAUGCCAUUAAUUCUUUCCUGUUCAGAGAUGCUUUCAAACUGUGAGAAAAUACUGUUCUGGCUUCUGUAAUCCUUUCAAAGGGUGAGUUAACUGUUCCCUUGAUGCCUUCAUGUUUGGAUCUGCUGCAGGCAGGACUGGGUGCAUCUUCUGAGCACAAGUUGGCCCCAUGGCUAUUUAUAAGUAAGGGUUAAUAAGGAAGUGGGGCUCUGAAGAGUUUUGUCUUUUUCCUUACAAGGUCUGAGCUGGGACACCCACCUCUGAGCUUCAUUUGCACUAGCUGCUUGCAGAGGGAGUUCUGCCUUCAGCCUGAUUUGAGGAUGCUUGGGAGAGCUCUCUCUGGCUAGUAGGAAAGUAAUUCAUUGGCGUGACUGUGGUUUCCCAAGCAAUCUGCUCUUUUGUUGGAAAUAAAACUAGCUGACACAGGCGAGGGGAAAUGUUUGUUCAGUUUGAGAUCAGAGGCUCUUGUUUUGAAAGCUCAGUUUUAUCCUCAGUCCCAACUUCUCUCCAUACACCAUUAAUCACUUGUCUGGGAACAGAGAGUUUGAACUGUCUCCAGAGCUACACAAGCAGAUUUGGUGGCUGUCAGUAGUACUCUGUAAAUAAGUACCAGCAGGCAACUGUGUAAGUAAACAACUUCUUUGGGAGCACCGGUGCCUUUCUCCACAGUUUACGUAGUGCAGCGGAAGGGCUCUGUUAGCUUUUGCAGGGACAGCCUAAGCACCACACACCAGACAGGGACAAUCUGCAACUUCCAACUGACAGAUUCACCACCAGCUUCCCUGCAGCUCAGAAAGAGCAGGAUUUGUAUCAGGAAGCCGGGAAACCAGCUGUGUGGCAGAGGCAGCUGUGCCAUGACAUCAUCUUUGUCCCUCGGAGUGUAUGUGUUUCAACACAGGCUUUAAUUACACAAGUGUGAACUCACCUUACCUACGGGGCCAGCAUUCUUACAAAAUGGGUUGUGCCUGCCCGAGGAAAGGCAUGGUUUUAGGAUGAAUGAGUGGAGACAAAUUCUAUUUUAAUAGAAUAGGCAGGCUUCUACAGAAAGGCAUUCUGGUGCAACUGAGAGUAAUAUAUGUUCUGAGACCUUGACAACCCUUUAAAGUAUUCCCCCUAGAAAAUAUUUUAAUGGAAUAUUUCAGAAUUUCUUUUGUACAUACAUGUGUGGUUGAAAUGUAGAGAAAAUGAAUAUAUUUUCCCUUAAAAGUGUUCAUUUCCAUUAAAAGGCUAUUUUUCUGCCUAGUAA